AUGGCCUGGCCUCUUGUCUGUGUGUCACUGCUCACCUUCUGCUCAGGAUCCCUCUCCCAGCUAAUACUGACUCAGCCUCCCUCUGCCUCUGCAUCCCUGGGGAGCACGGCCAGACUCACCUGCACCCUGAGCAGUGGGUACAGUAAUAGAGGUGCUUAUUGGUAUCAUCAGAGCCCAGGAAAGGCCCCUCGAUAUAUCCUGUAUGUCAGCAACAGUGGAGGUAUAAGCAAGGCUGAUGGGCUUCCUGAGCGCUUCUCUGGCUCCAGCUCUGGGGCUGAUCAAUUCCUGUCCAUCAGCAACGUCCAGGCUGAGGAUGAAGCCGAUUAUUACUGUGGGAAUGAUUAUAGCACUGGUGGUGGUUAUGCUCACACACAGUGA